UAGUUUUUUUAGAAAUAAAUUUAAUUUACGAAUUUUUAAUUUUUAAUUUAUUUUUUAAAUUUGAAAAAUUAUUAAUUUGAAUAUUUUAAGGGAUAAGCUUUGAAAUAAAAUAUGAAAAAUUAUUGAAUAAUAGGUUAAAAAUGUAUGCAUAGAAUUAGCAAUCAUUGGUAAGUUUGUUAUAAUUUAUUUUAUAAUUUAUAUUAUUUAAUUUUGUUUUCAUUAAGUUUAUAAAAAUUUUUUUAAGAAUUUAAAUUGAGAAGUGAUAAUGAUUAAAUUAGUAUAUUUAAAUAUUGUUUAUAUAUUUUAUAUUGGUAAGUUUAUAUAAAGAACUCGGCAAAUUUUAUACUCGCCUGUUUAACAAAAACAUGUCUUUUUGAAUUGUAUAUAAAGUCUAACCUGCCCACUGAAUAAUUUUAAAUGGCCGCAGUAUUUUGACUGUGCAAAGGUAGCAUAAUCAUUAGUCUUUUAAUUGAAGGCUGGUAUGAACGGUUGGACGAGGUAUAAACUGUUUCAUAUAAAUUUAUAGUAGAAUUUUAUAUUUUAGUUAAAAAGCUAAAAUUUUAUUAAAAGACGAGAAGACCCUAUAAAUCUUUAUAAUUAAUUUUAACUAAAUUUUUUUGAUUGAUUUUAUUUUUUUGACAUUAAUUAUUUUGUUGGGGUGAUGUUAAAAUUUAAUUAACUUUUAAUUUUUUAGAAUCAUUAAUUUAUGAUUUGUUGAUCCACUCAUAGUGAUUAUAAGAUUAAGUUACUUUAGGGAUAACAGCGUAAUUUUUUUUGAGAGUUCAUAUCGACAAUAAAGUUUGCGACCUCGAUGUUGGAUUAAGGUAUAAUUUUGGGUGUAGUUGUUCAAAAAUUAAGUCUGUUCGACUUUUG
rnacentral:rRNA from 1 species